rnacentral:rRNA from 1 species
GUAGGGGGCAAGCGUUAUCCGGAUUUACUGGGUGUAAAGGGAGCGUAGACGGCAGCGCAAGUCUGAAGUGAAAUGCCAGGGCUUAACCCUGGAACUGCUUUGGAAACUGUGCAGCUAGAGUGCAGGAGAGGUAAGUGGAAUUUCUAGUGUAGCGGUGAAAUGCGUAGAUAUUAGGAGGAACACCAGUGGCGAAGGCGGCUUACUGGACGAUGACUGACGCUGAGGCUCGAAAGCGUGGGGAGCAA